rnacentral:rRNA from 1 species
CCUACGGGAGACAGCAGUGGGGAAUAUUGCGCAAUGGGCGAAAGCCUGACGCAGCGACGCCGCGUGAGGGAUGAAGGUCUUCGGAUCGUAAACCUCUGUCAGCAGGGAAGAACGGUCACUGUGCUAAGCAGCAGUGAAUUGACGGUACCUGCAAAGGAAGCACCGGCUAACUCCGUGCCAGCAGCCGCGGUAAGACGGAGGGUGCGAGCGUUAAUCGGAAUAACUGGGCGUAAAGCGCUCGUAGGCGGUAUGGCAAGUCAAGGGUGAAAUCCCCGCGCUCAACGUGGGAACGGCCUUUGAAACUGGCCAUCUUGAGUGUGUGAGAGGCUAGUGGAAUUCCAGGUGU